rnacentral:rRNA from 1 species
GACGAACGCUGGCGGCGUGCUUAACACAUGCAAGUCGAACGGAAAGGCCCUGCUUUUGUGGGGUGUUCGAGUGGCUAACUGGUGAGUAACACGUGAGUAACCUGCCCUUGACUUUGGGAUAACUUCAGGAAACUGGGGCUAAUACCGGAUAGGAGCUCCUGCUGCAUGGUGGGGGUUGGAAAGUUUCGGCGGUUGGGGAUGGACUCGCGGCUUAUCAGCUUGUUGGUGGGGUAGUGGCUUACCAAGGCUUUGACGGGUAGCCGGCCUGAGAGGGUGACCGGCCACAUUGGGACUGAGAUACGGCCCAGACUCCUACGGGAGGCAGAAGUGGGGAAUAUUGCACAAUGGGCGGAAGCCUGAUGCAGCAACGCCGCGUGCGGGAUGACGGCCUUCGGGUUGUAAACCGCUUUCGCCUGUGACGAAGCGUGAGUGACGGUAAUGGGUAAAGAAGCACCGGCUAACUACGUG